AACGAACGCUGGCGGCAGGCUUAACACAUGCAAGUCGAACGGGCACCUUCGGGUGUCAGUGGCAGACGGGUGAGUAACGCGUGGGAACGUACCCUUCGGUUCGGAAUAACCCAGGGAAACUUGGGCUAACACCGGAUACGUCCGCAAGGAGAAAGAUUUAUCGCCGAAGGAUCGGCCCGCGUCGGAUUAGCUAGUUGGUGGGGUAAUGGCCCACCAAGGCGACGAUCCGUAGCUGGUCUGAGAGGAUGANCAGCCACACUGGGACUGAGACACGGCCCAGACUCCUACGGGAGGCAGCAGUGGGGAAUAUUGGACAAUGGGCGAAAGCCUGAUCCAGCCAUGCCGCGUGAGUGAAGAAGGCCUUAGGGUUGUAAAGCUCUUUCAGCGGGAAGAUAAUGACGGUACCCGCAGAAGAAGUCCCGGCUAACUUCGUGCCAGCA
rnacentral:rRNA from 1 species